UACGUAGGUGGCGAGCGUUGUCCGGAUUUACUGGGCGUAAAGAGCGCGCAGGCGGUCGUUCAAGUCGGAUGUGAAAGCCCCCGGCUCAACUGGGGAGGGUCAUUCGAUACUGAUCGACUCGAAGGCAGGAGAGGGAAGCGGAAUUCCCGGUGUAGUGGUGAAAUGCGUAGAUAUCUGGAGGAACACCGGUGGCGAAGGCGGCAUCCUGGACCGGUAUUGACGCUGAGGCGCGAAAGCCAGGGGAGCAAACGGG
rnacentral:rRNA from 1 species